ensembl:lncRNA
UGUUUCUUCAGUCUGUUUCUGUGACCUUUCUAAAUAGCUCCCUGUUCCACCUAUGAAUGUACACAAUGUUUUAUUUCACAAAGCUCUUGAUGGCUAGUCUGUACCACAUACGCUCAGCCUUAUAACAAAGUAGCUAUUAUUCCCUUUUGAAAGGCAUUUUUUUGAGGAUCUAUAUUUUAGCCCCUGCAAACCAGAUUCUGUCCAAAUUUUAAAAAAGUGUUUUUGAGGAUCUAUAUUUCAGCCCCUGCAAACCAGAUUCUUUCCAAAUUAAAAAAAAAAGUAGAUGGAGCCAACCAUUGUCUUUCACAAUAAGCAAGAUUGGUCUUUUUAAUUUAUAUGAGCUGUUUUAAAACUGAGGAUGUUUAGAGUUGCUUAUUUCUGAGUGCAGAGGCCAUUUUACUUUUUUAAAAUCAUAACCUGAAAAUCUUUUGCCCAAACUUUUCCAAAUUUGGCACAGAGUAAAAGAUACAUUUAGUGCUGGCUGAAUGACCCAGUGUAACGGAUGUAUACAUUGCAGCUGUCUAUUAGCCUGUGCAACUUUUAUUCAUACAAUGCUUGUGUGUGUGUUUGCUUAAAUAACCUUUUUUUGGUUGCUAUUUCUGCUUCAUUGAUAAAUCAGAUCCACUCCUGAAUGGUCUGUGGCAGUCUCAGCUAUGAGAGCAACGGCAUCUCCUAGAUUGAAGGAACUGGCACAGCCCCGACCUUACCCAGCUGGUUGGAAGUUCCAUCGCUCCCCUUAUUCUGUGGUGACUAAAGCAGCACUGUCAGCUUUACCUUCUGAACGGAUUACUGUUCUUGCUAAGCCAAGAGUAAGAACAGAUGCAAACACGGUGCACACAAAAUAAUUCAAGGAGCUGUUGUUGGAUUUCAGAAGUUUUGUGAACACUUGAAGCCCUGGACCUACAUCUCUGAUUAUGGCAAUUCUUGCUGAGUUUCGAAGGCUGAUGUCAUCUAUGCUCGCAGUCCACACAUUCUUGAAAUUAGCCAUGCAGUUGUUUGAGUUAUAUGGUCAUUGCACAUCCUUGACUUUGGCCAGUUUAGGGACGUGAUUAAAGGAUCCUGCACACAUCAUAUGGCUGUGGCUGUGAUGUUUCAUAAGUUUGAAAUACCUCCCAAUUAGUCUACCAUUUGCUUGCAUGAACCUUUGGUCAUCCAAAGACAUAGGUUUUAUCACAGCUUUGAGGUGCUCCUCUGUCUUGCAAGAAAGCAUGUGUUAACUUUGAUUUAAUCAAGAUACAUCGAGGCAAGUCUGAGUUCCAACACCAGCUGUGAUCCUAAUUUAUGAAUGGUGUAGCGAUCACCCUGCUUUGGGUCAGGUAGAAGAUUAUUUGCAUGUACCAAUGAGAGCAGUUGGGAGGCGGAGCCAGAGAAACUAGAAGGGAGGGGUGAGUGAGAGUCUAGUCAAUUCAGUCAGAGACAGAGUUUGGGGGUUUGAGGCAGAGAGAGUGUUUAAGGAGUGAUUAGUCAGAGUGUGACCUGUAUUAAUUAAGAUAGAAGAGGUUAAAGUAAAAUACUGAAGCUUUGUGUAACUUUAGGAAUGUGCUUAAGAACUAUUCCUAAAAUAACUUGUAAUCAAUAAACCUGUUUCUGUUUAAAAGUUCA